rnacentral:rRNA from 1 species
AAUGAACGCUGGCGGCGUGCCUAACACAUGCAAGUCGGAUGUGCCCGCAAGGGUGCAUGGCAGACGGGUGAGUAACGCGUGGGGAAUCUACCUUUUAGUGGGGAAUAACGCUCCGAAAGGAGUGGUAAUACCGCAUGUGACCAUUGGCUGGGAUGUUGAUGGUGAAACCCUGGGACCUUCGGGCCAGGGGCUAAAAGAGGAUCCUGCGUCUGAUUAGCUAGUUGGCGGGGUAACGGCCCACCAAGGCGACGAUCAGUAGCGGGUCUGAGGGGAUGAUCCGCCACACUGGGACUGAGACACGGCCCAGACUCCUACGGGAGGCAGCAGUGGGGAAUUUUGGACAAUGGGCGCAAGCCUGAUCCAGCAAUGCCGCGUGCAGGAAGAAGGCC